AGCUUCAGGGAACCUCGGCCAACUGGAACUACAUAUGGUACAGAGACGGAGCACAGAUCUCACUAAAUCACACUAGGGAGAGGCACACAGUGGGAUUUUGGAAUGGCUCCUAUGAUGGUGAAUACAAAUGUCAAGGAAACAGGAAGGACAGAGCGUGCUACUCUCUCAUCAGUGCAGGCUUCAUGACAACUAAUAUUCGGCUGUACUUUAUUGUGGGUGUUUCUGGUUCAGUCAUCAUUUUCAUAAGCCUGGUGGUGCUGGCAGUCAAAUGCUUUAAGAAAUGCAGGAAAUCAGAAGUUCGAAUCAAAAACCAGCUUGAUGGGGAUGAGUUUUACUCCAGGUUAAAUGGAUCUUACAUAAGUGCAG